rnacentral:rRNA from 1 species
UACGAGGGGGGCAAAUGUUGUUCGGAAUCACUGGGCGUAAAGGGAGCGUAGGCGGGUUUCUAAGUCAGGUGUUUAAUCCCGGGGCCCAACCCCGGACAGGCACUUGAAACUGGGAAUCUUGAAUAGUGGAGAGGUCAGUGGAAUUGAGGGUGUAGCGGUGGAAUGCGUAGAGAUCCCCAAGAACACCAGUUGCGAAGGCGGCUGACUGGACACAUAUUGACGCUGAGGCUCGAAAGCAUGGGGAGCAAACAGGG